UUCUGGUUUUGUUUUGUUUUCUGUGUUUAUUGUAUUUGGGUGGGGUUGAUGGUGGGAGGGGAGGGUUGUUCAUAUGUUGAUUUGGCAUUCUUUUCAGUUAUGGUUGUGAGUUGAAGUAUUGAUGUAAUAAAGGUGUGUUAAAGGUCGAAGGUCUCUGUUCCUCUCUGUUCCUCUCUCUCCCUCUCUGUUCCUCUCUCUCCCUCUCUCUCCCUCUCUCUCCCUCUCUGUUCCUCUCUCUUUCUCCCUCUCCCUCUCUCUCUCUCUCUCUCUCUCUGAGUGAAUGGCGGUGUGCAUGGAGCUGGGGACGGGAGUGUCGGAGUGAGUGGAUUUCUGUUUUCGAGUUCCUCUUUUCUAUUUUCACUGUCAGGUGUGUUUAUUUUCUCGACACACGGUUGUUGGUGUGUUUUGUUUGUUGCCGGCUGGUUUGGUAGCUUUUGCUACCGGCUUGGCUUGGCACAAUGCCCGCUGUUGAGGGUGGAGCAGAGUUUGAGAAGCUGACACGCCGUCAUGCUGUCAAACUUAUACCGACUGUAAAUUGCUCGGUGGAGGAAGCUGUUUUGGCUGUAGGAGAGGUGGUGGGCUGUGACAGCGUGAAAUCUGCCUCCCGUAUGAACGGUGCGAUUGUUAUUUUUCUUGAUAAGGUACCUAAAGUUAAUGAGUUGGUGGAAAGCGGCGUCGUCAUUCACGACACCUUUACGCCCAUUCUCCCGUUGGUUAGCCCUGCUAAAAAGGUUACCAUCUCAAAUGCGCCUCCUUUUAUUAAAAAUGAAACUUUAGCCAAGGAGCUGUCACGGUAUGGCCAACUAGUUUCGCCCAUAAAGAUGCUCUCUUUGGGGUGCAAAUCUGUGCUCCUCAAACAUGUUGUGUGUCACAGAAGGCAGGUUUUUAUGAUCCUCAAAGACCCCGCUGGCGAGCUGAACCUGUCUUUCAGUUUCAAAAUAGAGGGUUUCACCUACAUGGUGUUUGCUUCAUCUGAGAGCAUGAAAUGUUUUGGUUGUGGUGGAGAGGGGCAUUUAAUUCGCUCCUGUCCGGAGAGGCUAAGAAAUGCACAGCCAGCGGAUGAUGCCGUUGGAGAGCAGGUCCCAGCCAGGGCUCCUGGUAGGGACACGGCGAUCGCUCAUGCGAAACCUGCUGAGACCGUGGGCGGCUCCACUGAGACCGCGGGUGGCUCCGCCGUAGCUGAGGCAGACCCCGCUGUCGGGGCGCCGGUGGAAAACCGGCUUUUUCCGAGCAGUAACGGGUCUGAUGAAACUGGCAUUUUGAAAAGUGUUGAUGGUGUAGAAACGGAUCUGACUAAUGACCAGUCUGCCGGUUUUUCUGACACCAGUCAGACAGCUGACACGACUCUUGAGUCUGUGUGUGAUGAUCUUUGUGAGGAUGACAACAUGCUUGAUGAGGAUUUGCUGAAGUUGUCUCAAAAGAGGAAGAGCUCUGAACCUGCCCACUGUAGUACAAAAAUGUCAAAAGCUAAGAGAGGAAACAAAACAGGAGAGAGCAGUAUGGAGUCUGAAAGUGAUUUGUCCCUAAGCCAGGAACACCAGAAUCUGUACUCUCCUGCUGAGAUCAGGAAAUUCUUGCAGAAAACCAAAGGCCUCAGGAUGGUGAAAGUGGAGGAUUAUUUUCCAGACCUUAAGCUUUUUGUUGAGUCGUCUCGGGUCUUGACAAAAAAAUCAGGGAAUUUUCUUGAUGAUGUGUUGACAGACCAAGAGAUUUAUCGUUUGAAGAAACUGAUUUUGAAAGUGAG
ensembl:lncRNA